rnacentral:tRNA from 1 species
GAAGGUAUAGCUCAGUGGUACAGUGUGUGCUUAGCAUGCACAAGAUCCUGGAUUCAAUCACCAGUACUCCA